UGAUUUUGCGUCUGUUUUCUGCGAGCUUCUUUAGCCGGUGCAGCUAUUUCCUUUUCCUUUACCAUGCAUGAAGUUUGGCUUCUCAUAUCACAAACAAAAGUUCUACCUUCAAACUUCUUCAUAUGCCAAUUCAGAGAGAAGAUAUGAGAGUAGAAGUUUGAAUCUUUAUGUGCAAACUUCUUUAUUUGCCUCCCCGUUUAAGAAGCUAAAUGAAUAUUGAGUAGGAGCCUAUGAUGCAGAGCUCUUUCCAUACUACUACAGUAAACUGUGCCCUCUUGCUGAAGAAAUCAUCAGGGAUGUGAUGCAUCUUUAUGCCUUGAUGACACAUUUGCAAUAGUCAGUGACAAGACAGCAGUUCCAAACUUGAAUUCUAUUCGUGGUUUUGAGGGGGAUUGAUAGAAUCAAGUAUUUGUUGGAGGAAGCUUGCCAUUUGACUGUAUCUUGUGUGAUAUUUUGGCAAUUAUUGCUAGAGAUGCAGCUGUUUUGGUGGUCUGUUUCAGUCCGAAAGUGAGGAGAAGUACAUGCUUUUCUUCACUCGCAGACACCCAAUCAGUGCGCGCUCUCGGAAGUUUAACCGCAAUGCUGGCUGUGGUUUAUGGCACUGCGGUAGCAAAGACAAAGAUGUCAAGCAUGGAUCUCAAGUUAUUGGGUACAGACUGCAAUUCACUUUUAAGAAGAUCGGCGUCGGGAACCAGAAGAUCCAUACCAACUGGAUUAUGCAUGAAUUCCGCCUCAACAAAACGACAAACAUUGAUAGCUUGGUGCUUUGUAAAAUAUUUAAGAGGAAGCAUGGUGAAGAUCGGGAGAUACAGAUGGCCUCGGCGCUGUCAUUGCUCUCUCUGAUGUUUCUGAUGGUGAAGAAGAAAAAGAGGGAAGAUUGGCAAAGAGGAGGAGGAUUGUGGAAUCAGGUGGACAAAAGGGCUUGAUGGCUGGUUAUGCUGAGACAUCCCCCAAGAAUGCAUCAUCAUCAUCAUCAUUAUCCUCAUCAUCAUUGCAUCAUGAAGCACCUAGUGUUGCUGUUGAGAAACCAAUUCAACGCCAAGAAGAAACAACAACAUAUGAGAGGCUCGAGAAGAGGAGGCAAGUUGAGAAACAAACACAACAACAAGCCAACAUGGCCAAUUACAGUGUGAAGAGAUAUUGUCGAGCAGACAAUACUAAGGCAGCCGACCAACCUUCAGUAUUCAAGGAUGAAUUUGCUUCACUGGAGGACCUUAUCUGCCUUGAUGACUUUCCACAAUGGACUACGGAGUUUAAUGCAUCGCCUUGGGUGGGUGAUCGUGAUGAGACAUCAUUCUCGCCUUAUGAAGAACAAACAGAAACAGAGGAAAGGCUCGAGAUGAGGAAGCAAGUUGAGGAACCAGAUCAACAGCAAGGCAUCUUGGCUCAUUACAAUGAGGGCGCUACUGAAGCAAACAGCCAGUCUUCGCUGUUCAGUGCUGUAUAUGAGUCUCUUUUCCUUGAUGAUUCUUCACCACAGGAUGCCGAAAUUGAUGCAUCAUCAUCUUUUUUUCCCUUGGUCUGAUGACGUUCAAAAUCUGGGGCGGGCUGAUCUUUACCAUACGCUGAUGGAUUAAGGCUGCCCUCAGCUACAUGACUGCUUGCUUACUGGUGGUGAGACAUCCGACUUUUGUCAGAGGAUUUUCAAAACUGAUAGUGGUAAGAUAUCCAAAUUUUUUAGCGGAUUUUCAUGAAUUGCUUGUGUACAAAGAAGACCUCACCCCAAUUAACUUCAAGUGACCUUUGUAGACCUCAUCGAUAACUAGUAUAAUCUUAUAAUGUAAGCUCUCUACAAAGGAUGCAUCUUGUGUUAUUUCAUUUCUUUGUUAAAAGAAUUAUUCAUUCUUAUUUGAAUGGGAUGUAGUCCAGUAUCUUUUACUUUUACUUUA